ACCGUCCGUCACACCAUGGGAGUUUUUUGAACCAGAAGUAGGUAGUCUAACCUUAGGGGGGACGCUUACCACGGUGUGGCAGAUGACUGGGGUGAAGUCGUAACAAGGUAGCCGUAGGGGAACCUGUGGCUGGAUUGAAUCCUUC
rnacentral:ncRNA from 1 species